rnacentral:rRNA from 1 species
AUACGGGAGGCAGCAGUAAGGAAUUUUGGACAAUGGGGGCAACCCUGAUCCAGCAAUGCCGCGUGAGUGAAGAAGGCCUUCGGGUUGUAAAGCUCUUUUGUCAGGGAAGAAAAGGUAUCCUCUAAUACAGGGUGCUCAUGACGGUACCUGAAGAAUAAGCACCGGCUAACUACGUGCCAGCAGCCGCGGUAAUACGUAGGGUGCAAGCGUUAAUCGGAAUUACUGGGCGUAAAGCGUGCGCAGGCGGUUAUGUAGGUCAGAUGUGAAAUCCCCGGGCUCAACCUGGGAACUGCAUUUGAGACUGCAUGGCUAGAGUGUGUCAGAGGGGGGUAGAAUUCCACGUGUAGCAGUGAAAUGCGUAGAUAUGUGGAGGAAUACCGAUGGCGAAGGCAGCCCCCUGGGAUAACACUGACGCUCAUGCACGAAAGCGUGGGGAGCAAGCAGGAUUAGAAACCCUGGUAGUCCC